AUGAGUGCCUGGCCCUCUCCUCUGCUUUGGAGCUUCACCACGGCGUGUUUAACAGGUAUUGCUUUAGGCCAGACAACCACUACCUGGCCCCCUGUUGCAUCAACACCAGUGCCUCCUAGUGCAGCCACCACCCAGGUCCCUGUUGCAUCAACCCCAGCACCUCCCAGUACAAUCACCACCCAGGUCCCCAUUGCAUCAACCCCAGUGCCUCCCAGUGCAGCCAGUACUGCGGCCUCUACGCCUCAAACUGCCUCUACAGUGCUCUCGGCUGGAGUGACAUCAACCACUGCAAACCUUGUUGUGUCCACGGCAGUGCCUUCUGCUGAUCCAAGCACAAACGAGUCAGCUCAGACUCUGCCCACCACCACAGAUAUGACCGUCCUCACCUCUGGCAGCAUGGCCACCUCUCAAGUGUCUACAGGACUAAUGACCACGUCCACCAGCACCCCAGCAUCCCCUCCAGGUGUGACCACAACUCCUGGGGUCCCAUCAGCAGUUCCGUUCCUCACCACCACGAGGCCCUCAAACUGCAGCCGAGUGAACGUGACAUCCUGUGCCAGCUGCUCCCCAGGGACAUUUCCCAAUGAAGGCACCUUGAGCUGCUCGUGCUGUGCUGGGGGCUCGUGCACAGACCCUGGUGCCUGCACCUCCUGCCCGCUGGGCCACUACCAGCCCGAAAGUGGGCAACUGUCAUGCCUGCCUUGUCCACAGGGACAUUAUGCCAACUUCACAAGGAGCACCGCAUGCCUUCCCUGCCCACCCGGUAAUUACGCUAAUGAGUCUGGGGCUGCAGCCUGCAGAGCAUGUGAGAAAGGGUAUUUUAGCUCCAAGCAAAAUGCAUCUUUUUGUCUGCCUUGCCCGUCUGGAUCAUUUUGCAACACCACCAGCUGCAGGGGGUGUCUGCCGUGCCCCGGUGGGCAAGAGGCUCUUCAGGAGGCAUCGGAGGAGUGCGUACCCUGCCAACCAGGUAUGUUCAAAGGUCCCAGUGACAGCAAAUGCAAGCUUUGCAGGACAGGAGACUACCAAUUACAGUGGGGCAAGGAGAGCUGUGACCUGUGCCCAGAAAAUCACUACUGCCCUAGCCCAGACGUGACCCCGGUGAAGUGCCCUCCCGAUGCCUUCUGCCCCGCGGGCAGCACCGAGCCAACCUACUGCAUGGAGGUCUUCCUCUACAAGGCUGGGGACUCCUGCCAGCUGACACCCCUGAUGGUCAUUCUCCUGGCUGUCUUCUCAGUAGGUGGAAUCCUUGCUGUCUUUAUAUUAAUUCUGAGAAGAAGGCAAGAAUCUAGCAAGAAAUCCUUAAAGUAUCUACUGCUGCCCAAAGGCUCAGGAGGACACAUGACGUACGGGGGGACUGAGCACACAGCACCAGUCUAUGCUGGCUGGUAG
rnacentral:lncRNA from 1 species